rnacentral:lncRNA from 10 species
UUCCAGGAAAGAAGCCAACUGCAUUUUCACUCUUUCCAGCAACUUAAAAUUGGAUAUUGUACAGUCAUUUCAUAGAAUAUUGAAAACUGAGUAGUGUUGUUAAAGUGAAAGACACACAUUAAACAUGACUUAAAGCAGUGGAUUAAAGCAACCUAUAGUCCAAUGACAGUAGAAAUUUGGAAUUAAAUAAAUAGUUAUUUAAUCUUUUGGCUCAGAGAAGGUUUCCUACUUUUGCUUAUGCUUACAAAUUCUUAAUUAAAAAAUACAAAUAUUCCUGAACAAAUUAUAACAACAAAAGAAAAAAAAUCCCACCGUAUUUAGGGAAAAGUAGGUAACUUUAUGAUUAUUUUGUAUCUAAAUUAUAAUUCUUAAAACAAAUCACACUGUAAGUUACCCAAUUAUUCACCUUCUGAAAGCAAUGAGUCAUUAAUGACUUACAUCUUACUCACAUUUCCCUAAAAGACAUUUUUAUUUUAGGUUUUGAGAACAUGUUGAAAUUCUGCCAAGACUGCAAGCUUUGCAGAAUGAUGUGCUUUUCCUCUGUGGCUUCACCAGUGAAAUAUAUAAGUGAAAAAAUGGAAAAUAUUCUUUCUGUAACUAACAAAACUUUAGUUUUUGUCAUGAAAAAUCUAUAUGACAAAGGAGUUUUAUUAAAACUUUUUUCUUUUGGGUAAUAUGUCCACAAAUAAUAUAUGUGCUAAUCUACAGGGUUUUUUCAUUUGUAUAAGGACAUAUCCAAUAUAAUAACAAAGAAAUAAAAAUCUGAUAUCAAUUUUGAGAAGUGUCUUAUAGUUAGUGUUGCAAAUAGAAUCUAAAAAACUUGAAAUUAGUUUCAGAAUUAAAAUACACCUUUAAGAAGGAAGACCUUGGUGGUCUCCUGAAACAGGCAUGACAGAGGGUCUGCCCAGAGAUCUACUCUGCAACAAGAGGAUACCAGUCUACUAAAUCACUUUUACAGCUUCAUACCAAUGACACAGUUAUCAGAAUACAAGUGCCCUCUUGCCUUCAUUUAUAACUGAGAUACAUUUGUGUUCCUAAUGAUGUUAUCUGGGAAAACAGUCCUCAAAUCUGUGCAACACUGGCAAUCAAGAAUUUAUGUAGAUUGGCCAGAAGCCUACCGGGUAAUAGAAGGCUUUGGAACUAGACCUGAUUUGAAGGAUUAUUCAAAACUGCAACAUCCAGCUCAGCUUACAAUAGAACAUCUAGCAAGCUUGUCCAAUACACCUUAUUUUGUUGUUGUUCUGUUUUGUUUUGUUUAAGGCUUUUAGCAGCCUGAAGCCGGGGUUUUUAGUUUCUGUCUCUAGUGAUAAGUAGAAAAGAGGGAAGAGGAAGGGGCUUUACUGGCCCAAUCAGAAAGAGAAACUAAGAACCCAUGACUAUAUUCUCUCCCUUGGACAUCCCUGAAAGCUUGGCCUAUACUUAAUGUUCUGACUGAGAGGAAAGACUAGAGAUUUCCUUAGGAUAUGGAAAUAUACCUUGGUUAGGCUACCAUGUUUUCACAGUGAGAUCCUCCUCUGGCCUGUAACUAACUAGGGCACAAAAUAAAAGGUAAGAUGCUCCCUGCAGCCUACCACCAGAUACAUGUAUCAUGACCACAUCAAUAUUACACAGACAUAAAUAAAUUUCAAUUAUUCCUACCUCUCUUUGAAUUACUGUUUCCAUAAUAGUGCCAAAGGCUGGAAUUGUGGCAAUCCUGACAGAGCUGUUAGAAUUAAAACAGAAAGAAACUGAAGAUUUGAGAUGAACAACGAGUAUUAUUAAAAUGUAUAUUAAAGUAAGUACAAGGUAAAUAUACUGUAUUAGUCUCUAGCAAUGACAAAUUAAAUAAAUUUAAAAAAAGCAGACCAAGAAGAAUGCUCAAAAAGACAGACAGGAUAACUUAAGGUCGCAGUCUGUGAAACUCACAAUUCAGGAUCACUGGACAAGGUAACAAGGGCCGGAGCAACCCGCUUGUCAACUAACGCUUCACUCAUGCCUCGAAGAGUCAGCUGUAAACCAGUCAACAUGCAAUAAAAAAUGGUUUGGUAAACUGGAAUAAGAACUGGGUUAGCUGUGACUGAGGAUGGGCAGGCAGACUCAUUGGCCUUUCUUGGUUUAGUCAUCCACACGAGACAUUAAAAUGUUAGGCCAUUGGUUCAUGCUACUACACUUACUGGUAACAACCUGUUAGUGAGAUUAGGAGAGCAUCCCUUCUUGGCUUGAAAGAAACAGUCCAUCAGCAUAUUUUAGGUUCUGGAAGUAUUUAUUGAGCACUAAUGUUACUAAUAUAUUUUUUCAAUACGUGGCCUCCAAAUUACACUUAUGGUGAGGGUUGAUUUAAAAAGAACCAUGAUAUAUAAAGAAUAAUGUGAUAAAGUUUAAAAUCAAAUAAGCAUAAUCCAGUAUUAUUAAUUUAAAGAGAUUCUUCAAUAAAUUUAAGAGCUGAUGGUUAUUUCUUGACAGGCACAUUUUGAAAGGGAUGCCGAAUAUAAAAGGCAGGGAUGACACUUACAUUUCAGGGUCACUGGAGAGAGUAAUGAGAGCAGGAACAACCCUCUGAGCUACCAGAGUUUCAUUCACCCCCUUCACCAACAGCUGAUUGGUCAGCACAGGGGGUAUUCACAGGUGAUGCACGGAAAGAGCAAACACAGUGCGCCACGGGAAGAAGGAAGGAACAACCAAGAGAAAGAGAGAAAACACAAAAGCAAAACCAAAAUUAGAAGCUAAGCAAAUACUGCUGCUAGAGUGCUUUACAAAGGCAGAGAAUGCUUAGGAGGAAAAUAAAGCUUAAGUAGCCUAGCGUCCAUGAAAACAGAUUUUGUCACCAGUUUAACAGCAGUUUGUACUUUUGGUCAAAGAGUCUAAGCAAUUUCAAUGUCCAUCAAAAUGCAACUGAAAAGAAUACUUUUUUAGCUUGUUUGACACAUAUUGUGCUCUAUGGUUAAAAUUCUCAAAGUAAGGGUGGUAUGCUUUUAUCAUGACCAACAGGGUACAAACUGGGCUGUUUUUAAACCAAACUCACAGGAGUAGCAGUCACCACUAAACCACUUAUUAUUGUGCUAUAGCAAGUGUAUUUUAAAACCAUAUAGGACAAUUCCUAAUCUUUUAAAUAAUAUAGCCUUCUCUUUUGAGGUACAGAGAUAUAAGGCUGCCUAUUGGAAAGUAUUACACUUGGGAAUCAGAUCUGGGUUCAGACGUCAGUUCUCCACAUAUAAGCCAUGUGGUCUUAGAUACAUAGUAUUUUCCAUAACCUCUUGAAACGCAAGUUUUCUCAUCUGAAAAUGGUGAUAUUAUUAUCUACCUCAAAGGGCUGUUGUGCUAUGAAUUUGCAAAUAACAUACCUAAAUACUGUGCCUGACAAACAGGCAUUCAAGAAAUGAGAGUUUAAUUAUUUUGAUUACUGCAAGAAUAUAUGAUUUGUAAUAUGUUUGGAAGAAAUGAUCUAAUUUAAAAAACUUCAGUUAAUAUCUAAAUAGGUCUUUGUUUUAGAUUUCUUAUAAAUUCAAAUAAAAUGUAAAAUAAAAAAGAUGAGUAGAACUAGAUCUCUAUAAUCUAAUCACAAAACAAUUCAUUUAGCAACCAAUGCUAAAUUGCAAUACAAGAGAACAAUACUGAGCCGUAUACAUUUUGUUUGAUAAAUAUUACUGAAUUUUAUGAGUUCAACCGAGAAGGGCAAUCCCCUUCUCAAUUUCAGAAUGUAAGCACAUAUUAAUCCUAAAUGCUCACCAAUCUGUUUACCUAGUAGCUAGUACUUAGUCCUCACAGAAGAUCAAAGAUGUCACAGAAUUUUUUGUAACAAAAAUCUACCAUUGUGUACAUAUGUGAAGGUAUUCCUCCUAUAUAACACAUCAGAGAAAGUAACUCACUUUAUGUGAAGAUUCUUAAUUUUGCAAUGAUUUUUCACCAUUUACCAAUUGAUUCAUUUUAGAAUCUACUUCAAUAUUCUGAAAUAAUUUUUAUAAAAAAACAGAUAAUUAACCAGGAAUAAAAUGACAAAGAACUUUUAAUAUCUUAAACAUUACAGAUAUUGGAUAGAAAGAAAUAGGACAAGGAAGUUCAAAUAUUGUUAAAUAAAACUUUCUUCUCUGUAUCAUUUUAUAAGUAAGAUUGCUUAGAUUUGAAUCAGCAUCUUGAAAUUUCUGCUAUCUUGAGUCUGUCAAAAGCAUUAAAAAAGAGGUAAUGUAGAGGACAAAUUAAUUUUUCAUUGGUGUAGGGUUUUUAAGUUCAAUUUCUUUAUUAAGCUAGAAAAUCACAAAGUACAUUUAAGAGCUAUCAAUUGUUAUACACUUUAACACAAUAUAUCAUUUGAUCUUUUCACUUGAUGAAGUAAGUACAAAUAUCAUCAAUAUUUUAACAGAUGAAGAAACUGAGGCUUCGGAAAGUAACUUGUCCAAGUCUAAGUUGCAGGGCCUGCAAAGGAACUCUGUCCCAUCUGACUUAAAGUCCAUGACCUCUUUGAGUUGUGCUCUAAUGUUACAUGUUCAAUUUCCUUAUGAUUAAAAUAUAUAUGAAGCUCUUUUCUGCAUCUUUUGGGAAAUUUAUUAUAACAUGAUAAAUUCCUCUUAUAAAAUAAUUUUAUUAAUUUGCUACUUCAAAAAGUAAUUUAUAUUCCCUUAUUUAACAAUGGGAAUAAUAUGAUUGAUUGGGUUCCCUCUUUUUGUCCUGCUGUCUAAAAAUUAAACUCAAUUUAUUAGUGAAUUUCAGUGACCAUACCCUAUUAGGUUCCUGGUAUAUGUAUGCCUCAUUUUCUUCUCAUUUCUCAUUUUCUUUUCUUUCUGGUCUUACCUUUUAAAAAAAGAAUGUGUUUUUUUUAUGUUUUUAUUUUGAAUUAACUUUUUUAGGGUAAGCAGGCAUAAUUCUAAAUUAUAAAGCAUCAGUAUCAAAAUAAAUCUUAUGACCCAUUAUUCUUUUAACACAAUUUUGUUCAAAUAAGAACCACUGACAAAAAAGGAACUUUAAUUUCUCUUACUGAUAACUUUUACUGACAUGCUCAUUGAAAUGUAUCAUUAAUGAAUUUGAAAAACAUUGAAAUAGUCUCUCAAACAAGAUCCAGAAGUUCAUCAACAACCUGAGAGGACACUGAAAACUGCUUAAGCAUAGAUAGAUAUAGUUUCCAGACCAGCACUGACAGCAAACAGAGAAACCAAAACCAGACAUAAGCCACGUAUAAUAAGGCAGAAAACCAAACAAAACAAGCAAAAAACCUCAAAACAAGUGAAAAGGGAGGAUUCAUUCUAUUUACUUAUUUUCAUUUACAUGGUUUGAUUCACCAGUGCACACUCACAUUUUAGAGAUGAAAGAUUUAAGAAAAAGAAAUAGCUUUUAUGAGCUUAGAAUAAAAUCAUAGGAAGAGAGUAUAUUAAAGAAAUAGCUCUUCAUUUAAAAAGAUACUUUUUUCUUUUUGGGGAGAGGAGAGACUGAUGAAUGACUUUUCUUUCAUGGUAAUGCCCCCUUUUCAGCAUAUCGAAUAAUCAAAACGAUUUAUAUCCAGAAGGAACUUGUACUAGACAUAAAACCAAAUAGUGGCUUUGGCAUUCAUCAUCACAAAAAACCUGAUUACGGCUUUUUAAAAGUUGCUUCUGUAUGAUAACUGAGGGAAUAACAUGGAUGGAGAAUUUUCAACUUCCUGAUAACAAUGGAAUUUUCUGGAAUUCACAAAUCUAAUUUACGUAUUUGAAAAUUUUAGAAAGCAUAUAUUUUAAAUAUAUCAGUACCCCAUCUCCAAUUGCAAUUUAUCUUAAAUUGUGGAGAAAUUCUGAUAUUCGGCAAGAUUUGAAUUAACCAAUUCUUUUUAUAGAAAUAAAUGUUUAGGUAUUUUAAGAAACACAUGAAUAUUGGGGCAAUUUUAGUUUGGAUAAGUAUAUGUUCCCUAUUACUAUCAUAUAUUUUGUGAAGUAAUAGCAUGGAUGGAAAAAAUAAUGAUAAUGACAGUAAACAUAUAAGCACUUAUUAUGUUCCAGAGACUGUUUUAAGGGCUUUACAAGCAUUAAUUAGUUUAAUAUUAACAAAAAUCCUUUGAGACUGAUACUUUGAGACAGAUACUUUUUGUUAUCAACUUUCUUUUGUACAUGAGGAAACUAAGGUACAGAGAGGCUCAACCUUGUCCAAGUAAUUUACAAAGUCACUAGGUAGCAGAGAUGGAAACUGAACCAAGGCAGCCUAGAUUUAUUGCAAGACUGGAAAUCAAUAAGAAACAGUAAACCAAUUUUAGUGCUCAAAUAAAGUUCUAAACCUCAACCUCACUGCUCCCCACCUACACACAUACUAGGGCUAUGACAUAAUUUGCUAUAUGAUGGGUACAAAACAUAGUUAUUUCAAUUUCAUACUUAACUUGGGUAGGUAGCAAUUUAGUACAAUUUAGGUAAAUUACCUGGUCUCCUCUCUUUUGCAACUCUAUGGGCAGUUAAUGUAUUGGGAUGUUAUUCUACAUAUGAAAUGUUAGGGAAUAGUGACGUAGGAGUAACCAAUAAAAUAAACAUUUCCAUAAUUUCAAUAAUUGAUUUUCUAAUGCUACUGAUAAAUUCAACUAUAUUUUACAACUUGAAAGAUAUCCUAUGUUGUUUCAGUUUAUUUACCUCAGUAAAUCAAAAAGUAUAGUCAGAAAGAGUUAUAUAAGUUAGAAAUUAAAAUAAGAUUUAAAAGAUAGUUUGAGAAAUAAAAGUGAUAAUUGAAUAACAUUCAAGGAACCAGUAAGCUGAGAAAACAUUUUUAAAUAUGUUAAAGCUAAAUUUCUGCCCCAUCACACAGUACACAACCAGACACUGUUCAAAGCCAUAAAAUAUAUAUCAACAUAACAUGAUAUGCAAAGCCUUUUUAUUAAAAAAAAUUCCCUUCUUCUUCGCAAAAAAAAAAAAAUCAUUAUAAUUG